GAGGAAAGAAACAUUAGCUACCAAGACAAAACUUUUGGAGCUGACGGUCACAACUAGAACCGACUUCGCUCAGACAUCCAAGGAAGGUUUGGGCCAUCUUUGGUCGAAAGACCUCUGGUGGAAACUACGAAUGGCAGGAAAAGGCAUCAUCACAGCGAACUGGAUUUAUAAACUAAUAUAUUUGUU